GUGGGGAAUAUUGGGCAAUGGGGGCAACCCUGACCCAGCGACGCCGCGUGAGGGAAGACGGCCUUCGGGUUGUAAACCUCUUUUGUACGGGAAGAAGGAAGUGACGGUACUGUACGAAUAAGUCCCGGCUAACUACGUGCCAGCAGCCGCGGUAAUACGUAGGGGACGAGCGUUGUCCGGAAUUACUGGGCGUAAAGGGCGCGCAGGCUGUGCUGCAAGUCAGCUGUGAAAUGGCUGGGCUUAACCCGGGCAUGCGGUUGAGACUGCAGUGCUGGAGUGCUGUAGAGGCAAGUGGAAUUCCCAGUGUAGCAGUGAAAUGCGUAGAUAUUGGGAAGAACACCGGUGGCGAAGGCGACUUGCUGGGCAGCAACUGACGCUGAGGCGCGAAAGCCAGGGGAGCAAACGGGAUUAGAAACCCCUGUAGUCC
rnacentral:rRNA from 1 species